rnacentral:misc_RNA from 1 species
CCCUAUGUCGCUCCGAUUCGUCCCUCCCCCCCACGCCCAAUCCCCCCACUCCCUCACACUCCCUUUUCCCGACCCCGGCCCUGAGGUUUGAAACCACCCCCGCGACGCGCCGACUAUGUCCCCCCGACCCUUCGAUGCCUCUGCUGGUCGGGACCCGGGCCACCCCCGUGACCAUAUGCCAUUUCGUCUAUCAAAAACUUGGCAAAGGCAUGGAAACUUGGAAGCUUGACCAAAGACACCUGACGCGUGCCACCGCCCGUGCCAUGACGCGUGCCACGGGGCCUUGCAUGGUGCCCGUGAGCCGAGCCAAGACACGCGACGCGUGCCACCUCUCGCGCCAUGACGCGUGCCAUGGGGCCUUGCAUGGUGCCCGCGAGCCGAGCCAAGACACNGUGCCACGGGGCCUUGCAUGGUGGCCGCGAGCCAAGCAAAGGUGCCACGGGGCCUUGCAUGGUGCCCGCCCGCGAGCCAAGCCAAGGUGCCACGGGGCCUUGCUUGGUGCCCCCCCGCGAGCCAAGCCAAGGUGCCACGGGCCCUUGCUUGGUGCCCGCGAGCCAAGCCAAGGUGCCACGGUGCCUUGCAUGGUGCCCCCCCGCGAGCCAAGCCAAGGUGGCACGGGGCCUUGCUUGGUGCCCACGAGCCGAGCCAAGACACAUGACGCGUGCCACGACAGCUACAAAUGACCCUCGAUAUGGUGCUAGAGGCUGUGCUAGGACACGUCUCGCGUGCCAUGAUGCGUGCCACGGCCCGAGGCACAACACGUCUCGCGUGCCACGACCCCCAUGCCAUGGUGCCACGACACCUGUAAUGACCCAUUCCAUGGUGGUAUAGGCUGUGCCAAGACACAUGGUGCAUGCCCUAUCUGGAUUUCGACCCUGAUGCCUUGACAAGGUUUCGGAUUAUGGUCUGUUGCUAAUCACGGAAUGUUAUUAAUCCAUGGAUUCAUGUUGCAAAGGUUGUUCGCUGUUUUUUUAUAUGGUUUUUUUAAGUAAAAAAAUUUUAAAAUAAAUUUUGUUUUGACAAUCCUUGGAUUCUUUUUUAAGAUUUCUUUUUCCCAUAUCAAAUACAAUUUUUAAAAAUAUUUAAAGUAAUUUUCACUUAUUUUCCCCAAUUUUCCCCUAUUUUUCGAAGUAAAAAAACUAAAAAAAAAAUAUUUUUUUUGGCAAGAGAGCUUCACCAAUCCUUGAAUUCGUGUUCCAUAUAUUUUUCCCAUGUGAAAUACAUUUUUUAAAAAUAUUUACACUAUUUUUUCCUCAUUUUUACAAUUUUUCAAGUAAAAAAUUGGAAAAAAGAAAUUAUUUUUGGGAGAUAAGUUGCAUUAAUUCAUGGGUUCCUGUUCCAGAUAUUUUUCCCAUGUGAAAUGCAAUUUUUAAAAAUAUUUUCACUAUUUUUUGGUAUUUUUCCCUAUUUUUCCCUAUUUUUCGGACAAAAAAAUUAAAAUAAAUAUUUUCUGGGCCGAAUUUUUUUUUUUUUUUUCCCUUGGGUUCAUAUAAUUAUUAUAAUGAGAUUCAGCAAAAAAAACGGAAUUAAAAACUCUUUUUUCAUUAAAAAAUGGCAUUAUGUCUCCUCAAGCAUGGGUGAUGUCUCCUCAAGGCAUUUCCAAAAUGGCCCAAAAUGCUCUUUAAGGGGGGGGUGCUGUCCUCAAUGGGCUGGCAGCACCACCCGCCCAGGCACGCUGCAGCACGUGCCGCCCUUGGCAUGCAGGCCGCCCAUGCCACCCUAGGCAUGGCGCCCCCGCAUAUGCCACCCUCAAGCCCACGACACGCUAAUGCGAAGAGAGCACGCCCGCGACACCGAGGGGAGCCCUCGCACGCAACAGCAGUCACCCCGUGCCCCGCACACGCUGCACCCCGGACGCGUCCCAUGCACCCCAUGCGGACACGCCCUCCCCCCCAUGCAACGAGUGCCCUCCCCGCGCACUCGGCCCCGUCCCUCCCCGUCUCGGCUCGACCCCUCGAGCGAGCAUGUUGCCUCGGAAAAACGUGCCAAUGGCCAACGUCGCGGCUCACCCCGGGGGGCUCACCCAUGCCUCCCGCCGGACGUUGCCCAUCGAAAGGCACACGGAUGCCCCUCCCCCCAUGCAACGAGUGCCCUCCCCGGGUGCUCGGCCCCCCGUCUCGGCUCGUCGAGGAGCCCUCAAGCCCUCGAGCGAGCAUGCUACCUCGGAAAAACGUGCUAGUGGCCAACGUCGCGGCUCACCCCGGGGGCUCACCCAUGCCUCCCGCCGGACGUUGCCCAUCGAAAGGCACACGGAUGCCCCUCCCCCCCACGCAACGAGUGCCCUCCCCGGGUGCUCGGCCCCCCGUCUCGGCUCGUCGAGGAGCCCUCAAGCCCUCGACCGAGCAUGCUGCCUCGGAAAAACGUGCUAGUGGCCAACGUCGCGGCUCACCCCGGGGGCUCACCCAUGCCCCCCGCCCGACGUUGCCCAUCGAAAGGCACACGGAUGCCCCUUCCCCUCAUGCAACGAGUGCCCUCCCCGGGUGCUCGGCCCCCCGUCUCGGCUCGUCGAGGAGCCCUCAAGCCCUCGAGCGAGCAUGUUGCCUCGGAAACGAGCCGGAUGCAUCGUCGCCAUGCCUAUAUCGGUCCUACGAAGGCUUCACUCGUUGCUCCCGUGUGCUCGUCAGGAGUCGCCUCCGGACGAGUCGCGGUUCGACGCGUGAUGCCGGGUCGUAGUGAACCUGAUGGCGUGUGAGUGGUGUUUGGGUCGCGUGGGUCGGCAGGCUCCUUGCUCGUGCAACGAACUGUCRCCCCACCCACCUCUUCAUUCUGAGCCUCAAGCGCUGCAACAAGCCUUGGGCGUCGCGAUGCCGUGGUUCCUGUGUUGCCUUCCUAACGGAUGGAAUUGUCCCUCGAACRUCGCCUAUCUCCGCCCGGCUCCCGCUCACGCGGUGCGGGCGGACCUCGAAGGCGGUCGCCGCGUCCCAUGGUCGCCCCACGCAUGCGCACGCAUGAGAGGGGUCGAGCAUGGCCCGCGACGGCCGCUCGUGCUCUCGGAUGCGGAACCUUAAAACGAGCGUGGGGUCUCUCGGGAUCCCGUACUCGCUCGAGCUAAGCGUUCGUCGCUAGACGCGUACGACGGCCGUCCCCGUCCUUGCCCUCCCGUCCCGCUCCCCUCGGGGGGCGUCGGUCAGGCGCAUGCGGUGCCGGCGUCGCACAGGAAUGC